rnacentral:lncRNA from 1 species
CUAAAUAAAUUAAUUUUCUCUAUAAAUAAUUCUUCUUGCCCUUGAAACAACCAUCACUUUUCUUAUAGAUUCUCAUCUAAAAUCAACUUUCAAUUCUCAGUAUAUAUCUCUUUAUAAGAUGAAUUACAGUGCAAUAUCUUUUUUCAAUUUCUUUUCUCCAAAUAAUUCUUCUUGCACCUUCCAAUUUCUUUCUCCAAAUAACUCUUCUUGCACCUUGAAAUAUCAUCACUCUUCUUAUAUAUUUCUCAAUCCAAUGAUUUUUUUCUUAGUAUAUAUUUCCUUGGAGGAAAAAUUAUAGUGCAACAUCUUGUCAAAAAGAUUAUGUUUAAAAGUAAAAAAGUUGUUACAUGAACUUUCUCUUUCACUUUUGUUAAAGAAAUCACAUUUUAAAGAAAGAAGAAGAUGAUGAUGCAAAGUUGAGGAUGUCAUUGUUGCCGGGGAAAAAAUUAUUACAUGACCUUUUUCUUUCACUUUUGUUAAAGAAAUCACAUUUUAAAGAAUAAGAAGAAGAUGUAAA